GUCGAGCGGCAGCGGGAAGUAGCUUGCUACUUUGCCGGCGAGCGGCGGACGGGUGAGUAAUGUCUGGGAAACUGCCUGAUGGAGGGGGAUAACUACUGGAAACGGUAGCUAAUACCGCAUGACCUCGAAAGAGCAAAGUGGGGGAUCUUCGGACCUCACGCCAUCGGAUGUGCCCAGAUGGGAUUAGCUAGUAGGUGAGGUAAUGGCUCACCUAGGCGACGAUCCCUAGCUGGUCUGAGAGGAUGACCAGCCACACUGGAACUGAGACACGGUCCAGACUCCUACGGGAGGCAGCAGUGGGGAAUAUUGCACAAUGGGCGCAAGCCUGAUGCAGCCAUGCCGCGUGUGUGAAGAAGGCCUUAGGGUUGUAAAGCACUUUCAGCGAGGAGGAAGGCAUCACACUUAAUACGUGUGGUGAUUGACGUUACUCGCAGAAGAAGCACCGGCUAACUCCGUGCCAGCAGCCGCGGUAAUACGGAGGGUGCAAGCGUUAAUCGGAAUUAC
rnacentral:rRNA from 1 species